rnacentral:sRNA from 1 species
ACCAGGAGUGGUGCUGCAUGCCUGUAAUCCCAGUGAUUUGGGAGGCUGAGGCAGGAGGAUUGCAAGUUCAAAGCCAGCCUCAGUAACUUAGUGAGAUCCUGUCUCAA